GGCAGGUUCUGGGUCUAUUUUGCUGACAGUACCAUUUUCUUUGGUAAUUUCUUGUUCCCGGGUAUUCUCUUCCAUAUUCUGACUUGGUAACUUCACGAGGCUAAGUUGGCUGACAGGUGGAGAUCCAUUUGCAGGGCGCUGAUCAGUUACAACUAAAGCAUUUGAUGUAUGUUGCUGACUUCGUAAUUUUAUGGCACUUUGCUCUGCUGUGUCAACUUCUGUAUCUUCGGCCUUCUUUAGCAGAGCAGACUGUCUUUCGGGAAAUUUUGGCAUCUCAGCC
rnacentral:misc_RNA from 1 species